UACGUAGGUGGCAAGCGUUGUCCGGAAUUAUUGGGCGUAAAGCGCGCGCAGGCGGUCCUUUAAGUCUGAUGUGAAAGCCCACGGCUCAACCGUGGAGGGUCAUUGGAAACUGGGGGACUUGAGUGCAGAAGAGGAAAGCGGAAUUCCACGUGUAGCGGUGAAAUGCGUAGAGAUGUGGAGGAACACCAGUGGCGAAGGCGGCUUUCUGGUCUGUAACUGACGCUGAGGCGCGAAAGCUAGGGGAGCGAACAGG
rnacentral:rRNA from 1 species